AGCAGCCGCGGUAAUUCCAGCUCCAAUAGCGUAUAUUAAAGUUGUUGCAGUUAAAAAGCUCGUAGUUGAAUUUCGGGAUCAAUAUGUCGGUCGUGCCAUUGGUACGUACUGGUAUCAUUGAUUUCUCCUUUCUGACGAACCAUGAUGUCAUUAAUUUGGUGUUAUGGGGAGUUUAGGACUGUUACUUUGAAAAAAUUAGAGUGUUUAAAGCAGGCAUUAGCUUGAAUACAUUAGCAUGGAAUAAUGAAAUAGGACGUUUGACCCUAUUUUGUUGGUUUCUAGGAUCGACGUAAUGAUUAAUAGGGAUAGUUGGGGGCAUUAGUAUUCAAUUGUCAGAGGUGAAAUUCUUGGAUUUAUUGAAGACUAACUACUGCGAAAGCAUUUGCCAAGGGUGUUUUCAUUAAUCAAGAACGAAAGUUAGGGGAUCGAAGACGAUCAGAUACCGUCGUAGUACUUAACCAUAAACUAUGCCGACUAGGGAUCGGAUGAUGUAAUUUUUAANGUACUCAUUCGGCGUCCG
rnacentral:rRNA from 1 species